AGCCUACGGGACGCAGCAGUGGGGAAUAUUGCACAAUGGGGGAAACCCUGAUGCAGCGACGCUGCGUGAGCGAUGAAGUAUCUCGGUAUGUAAAGCUCUAUCAGCAGGGAAGAAGAUGACGGUACCUGACUAAGAAGCCCCGGCUAACUACGUGCCAGCAGCCGCGGUAAUACGUAGGGGGCAAGCGUUAUCCGGAUUUACUGGGUAUAAAGGGAGCGUAGACGGCAGUGCAAGUCUGGAGUGAAAGGCGGGGGCUCAACCCCCGGACUGCUCUGGAAACUGUACGGCUGGAGUGCAGGAGAGGG
rnacentral:rRNA from 1 species